CCUGGGAUUUUAGAGUCCCGGCUAGGCGCCUGCUUAAACGAAGCCCUUGGAACUCAGUGAAAGCAGCGGCAUCCUCAGAAGAAAGAGAAACCGCUCACCACUGUCAGCACCACGGCCCCGUUCCCUGCACCCCCAGCCUUCAUGGGGAGGACACAUCCUUUCACUGAAUUGGGAGAAAAACAGCAUCACCCCCACCCCGCCCCCAGGUUUCCUGAGCCUCAGCACCAGGGAGAGUGCUCAGAAUGGGCCCUGGACUCUGGGGCCUGGAGCAGGUCUGAAGGCUCCCGCAGCUGCAGUCUCUGCCGUCUGCACUGGGGACGGCUCUUGGGUUGGGUCCUUCUUCCCUGCGCACUCCGAGGUCCUCCCUGCAGCCUUCCAGUCAGCAGGACCUGGCUGGGGGGACAGCAUCAGGGGCACUGGCUGAGGGAGGUGAAUGAGCCUCUCCCUGGUAUGCAGGAAGGGCCUGGUGGGAAGAACAAUGACUCAGCCUGGAGAUGGCAGCAGCUCAGCCCUCAUGGGACUGUCUGACUCAGUCCCCACCCUCUCUGUCCCCAGGAAUGACCAGCCAUUGGGUGGCCCUGCUGGAGGCCGCCCCCGCCUAUGACCAGACAGCCUCUGCUCUGGAGGGCUCCUGUCCUGAGUGCCGACUGCCAGGCCGUCCUCGGGCUGGAAAGGGCAGAGCUGUGGGGAGGUGAGCAGAAGCCCAGGGAAGCACCGGGUGCUGGGCAGGCCAGCCAGCUGCAGGCAUCGCUUUCAGGGUGCAGAAGAGCCAGACCCAGCCCAAGGAGGGAGGCCCAGAGUGCCUCAGUGAUGACCACGUGGGCAUAGCCAGGAGGAACACCCAGGGCGGCGGAAAUGAAUUAUUAGCUAAUACUUCCAAAGAACGAACCUGUCAAAGUUCCAUGUUUCCAACUGAACCCAUGUUCCUCCACUAAUACUUGGAUUUUCUUCCACCACGGCCGUUCCUGAGACAGCAAGACCAGUUCCUCCUCCUUCUGCUCCUCCUCAGCCCACUUGACGUGAAGACGACGAGGAUGGAGACCUUGAUCGUGCCCCACUCCCACCUAAUGAAUAGUCUGUAGAUUUUCUCUUCCUUAGGACUUUCUUCAUAACAUUUUCCUUUCUCUAUCUUACUUUAUUAUAAAAAUACAGUAUAUAACACAGAUGCAAAUUAUGUGUUAAUUGAGUUUUUAUGUUAUCUGUAAGGCUUCCAGUCAACAGUUGGCCCUCAGGAGCUAAGUUUUGGGGGAGUCCAAAGUUGUAUGAGUAUUUUUCACUGUGUAGGGGAUCAGUGCCCAUAAACCUCAGGUUAUUUAAGGGUCUACUGUAUAAAGUAAAUAUUGGACUCAUAAUAACAAUAGCAGCUAUAACAUCUUUGUAGCACUUAGCCUUGGUACAGGUGCCUUCAAUAUGCUAACUAAUUUAACUUUUAACCAAGCCAGUUCUUUAUGUAAAAAAAACGAUUCAUCAUAAUUUAAUAUCUUAUACAUGUUCCAUUCAAUUUUCUAAAUUUGGCUAAUAUAAAAUAAGGUUUAAUAUUACCAUGAUUUGAUCAACAUUUCAAAAUUACAUAUAUUUCUCUUACAAAUUCAUUGUUAUUGACAUCAAAUUUAUAACCACGUUAUUGGCAUUGUUUAACCACACAGUAAAAUAAGUGUAAUCAGUGAAAAAAAUAGAAUAAAAUCUAUAUAGUGGAGACCUUGAAAUAUAUGUGCGAGAGUGCAAGAGUUUAUUCACUGUUGGGAUGAAAUGCUAUUUAACAGUUUUUCUUUCCCAAGGGAUGGAAUUAUGUGGGAUUCUUGUCUCCAUCUGAGAUCUAUCCCAGGGCAUCAUCUCCGGAGAAG
rnacentral:lncRNA from 1 species